ACUGAUGAGCUUCUCUGUGCAAGGGUGCCUUUUUGGAGCAAUGUCCCCAUUCGGUCCAUUGAUAUGAACCACUUCAUUGAAUGUCUUAGACGGAAAACUUUCUAGGAAAUAUAAGAGAUGAGGCCAUAUGACUGAAAACCUAGAAGGAAAAAAACAGACAAUAGGAAAAAACCCAUGGGUGAUCCGAAUAUAUAAGUUAGCAGACAAUGCAUUUCUAACAACUAUAUAUUCAGAUAAUAGAGGAAAGAUGGUGAAAA
rnacentral:lncRNA from 1 species